CAUUAAGAUGCUGUAAGUGGACAGCGUUGGCCUUUUAAGCCAAAACCUGGUGACUACCGACCACCCUUAGUGA
rnacentral:tRNA from 1 species